CAUGCAAGUCGAGCGGAGUUUUGAAAAGCUUGCUUUUCAAAAUUUAGCGGCGGACGGGUGAGUAACACGUGGGCAACCUGCCCUUGAGACGGGGAUAACUCCGGGAAACCGGAGCUAAUACCGGAUAACACAUAUCUUCGCAUGAAGAUAUGUUAGAAGGUGGCUUUUAGCUACCACUCAAGGAUGGGCCCGCGGCGCAUUAGCUAGUUGGUGAGGUAACGGCUCACCAAGGCGACGAUGCGUAGCCGACCUGAGAGGGUGAUCGGCCACACUGGGACUGAGACACGGCCCAGACUCCUACGGGAGGCAGCAGUAGGGAAUCUUCCGCAAUGGACGAAAGUCUGACGGAGCAACGCCGCGUGAGUGAUGAAGGUUUUCGGAUCGUAAAGCUCUGUUGUUAGGGAAGAACAAGUACCUGUUGAAUAAGCAGGUACCUUGACGGUACCUAACCAGAAAGCCACGGCUAACUACGUGCCAGCAGCCGCGGUAAUACGUAGGUGGCAAGCGUUGUCCGGAAUUAUUGGGCGUAAAGCGCGCGCAGGCGGUUCCUUAAGUCUGAUGUGAAAGCCCACGGCUCAACCGUGGAGGGUCAUUGGAAACUGGGGAACUUGAGUGCAGAAGAGGAGAGCGGAAUUCCACGUGUAGCGGUGAAAUGCGUAGAGAUG
rnacentral:rRNA from 1 species